CUAAUACAUGCAAGUCGAACGCUGAAACACUCUGCUUGCAGAGUGUGGAUGAGUGGCGAACGGGUGAGUAACACGUGGGGAAUCUGCCUAUAAGUGGGGGAUAACAUUCGGAAACGGAUGCUAAUACCGCAUAUAUUCAAAAACCGCAUGGUUUCUGAAAGAAAGACGGCUUUGCUGUCGCUUAUAGAUGAUCCCGCGGCGUAUUAGUUAGUUGGUGGGGUAAUGGCCUACCAAGACCAUGAUACGUAGCCGACCUGAGAGGGUGAUCGGCCACACUGGGACUGAGACACGGCCCAGACUCCUACGGGAGGCAGCAGUAGGGAAUCUUCCACAAUGGGUGCAAACCUGAUGGAGCAAUGCCGCGUGAAUGAAGAAGGUCUUCGGAUCGUAAAGUUCUGUUAUUAGAGAAGAACAAGUCAAGGAGUAACUGUCUUGACUUUGACGGUACCUAACCAGAAAGUCACGGCUAACUACGUGCCAGCAGCCGCGGUAAUACGUAGGUGACAAGCGUUGUCCGGAAUUAUUGGGCGUAAAGGGAGCGCAGGCGGUUGGAAUAGUCUGAUGUGAAAGCCCACGGCUUAACCGUGGAAGGUCAUUGGAAACUGUCCAACUUGAAUGCAGAAGAGGUAAGUGGAAUUCCAUGUGUAGCGGUGAAAUGCGUAGAUAUAUGGAGGAACACCAGUGGCGAAGGCGAC
rnacentral:rRNA from 1 species